AGAGAUGUGUGAUGACGCAUAUCAAUAAGCGGAGGAAAAGAAACUAACAAGGAUUCCCCUAGUAACGGCGAGUGAAGCGGGAAGAGCUCAAAUUUGAAAUCUUAAAGGGUUUCCCUUUACGAAUUGUAGUUUAAAGAAGUGUUUUCUGUUGGAGUUUCGGUAAAAGUUCUUUGGAAUAGGACAUCAUAGAGGGUGAGAAUCCCGUAUUUGACCGUUACUUUCCAGCUGUGUGAUACACUUUCAAAGAGUCGGAUUGUUUGGGAAUGCAGUCCAAAAUGGGUGGUAAAUUUCAUCUAAAGCUAAAUAUUGGCGAGAGACCGAUAGCGAACAAGUACCGUGAGGGAAAGAUGAAAAGAACUUUGAAAAGAGAGUUAAACAGUACGUGAAAUUGUCAAAAGGGAAGCGUUUGACACCAGUGUUGUUUAGUUGAAAAUCAAUUCAAUAGUUUUUGAUUUUGAGUAGUAUUGACUUCAUCAGCUUGCUGCUUUUUUUUCAGGAAUUAUUGAAUGCACUUUUCAGUUAACAAGUCAACAUCAAUUUCUUUUGUUGUAAAAGGGUAAGAGGAAGGUGGCUUACGUUUCGGCGUAAGUGUUUAUAGCCUUUUACCUCUGCAGUCGGAGAGAUUGAGGACAGCAGCGUAGACUCCUUCUGGGGUUAGAUACACUUGUGCUAAGCUAUAGCCUUGUAUAGACAACUUGUUGACUAUGCUCAGUCAUGUAGCUUACUCGCUUGUGCUAUUUUACCUACGCUUAGGAUGUUGAUAGUCACAGCGUGUAC
rnacentral:rRNA from 1 species